rnacentral:misc_RNA from 1 species
UGCUUUUGAUCCACUUGAUGGUUCUAGUAUUGUGGACACGAACUUUACAGUUGGAACCAUCUUUGGUGUAUGGCCCGGGGAUAAGUUAACCGGGAUCACAGGAAGAGAGCAAGUUGCAGCAGCUAUGGGAAUAUUUGGACCGCGAACUACAUACGUUCUUGCUCUUAAAGAUGUUCCCGGGACCCAUGAAUUCCUCCUCCUUGACGAAGGAAAAUGGCAACAUGUUAAGGAUACAACAGAAAUCGGAGAAGGAAAGAUGUUCUCCCCUGGAAAUUUAAGAGCCACAUUUGACAAUCCUGAUUACGCCAAGCUGAUCGAAUACUAUGUGAAGGAGAAAUACACCUUGAGAUACACCGGAGGAAUGGUGCCUGAUGUAAACCAGAUAAUUGUAAAGGAGAAAGGUAUAUUCACAAACGUGACAUCUCCAACAGCUAAGGCGAAACUUAGAUUGCUGUUUGAAGUGGCACCGUUAGGAUUCUUGAUCGAAAAAGCUGGAGGUUACAGCAGCGAUGGGAAACAAUCCGUCCUUGAUAAGGUGAUCGUUAAUCUUGAUGACCGGACUCAAGUUGCUUAUGGUUCCAAGAAUGAGAUCAUUCGAUUUGAAGAAACACUCUACGGUUCAUCAAGGCUUAAGGCUGGUGCACCAGUUGGUGCUGCUGUUUGAGGCUUGAGAAUGCAGCAGCCCUCUCGUAAAUCGUAAUGUUUGUUUGUGUUUCUUUUCGCGCUUUCUUUCUAGAGCAUCGCGAAAAUGCUGUUCCAUCAGGUUGUAAAAGGGAGAUAGGUUAAAGACAACAAGGUCUUGUUAAAGAAAUGGGAAUUGGAACAUUUUUUUUUGUAUAUUGUUGUUUCUAUUAACUGGUGUUCAAUAUGCUGGAUUUCAGAUAUAAAAGGUUAAAAAAAAGACAAAUAAUUUGUAGUAUUAUGUAAGAUAAAUUUAUGUAUUACAACUUGUCUGA